rnacentral:rRNA from 1 species
CCUACGUGAGGCAGCAGUGGGGAAUCUUCCGCAAUGGGCGAAAGCCUGACGGAGCAACGCCGCGUGAUCGAAUGUAGGCCUUCGGGUUGUAAAGAUCUGUUGACAGGGACGAAUAAGCCAUGCGAAUAGUUUGGUGUAUGACGGUACCUGUUUAGAAUGCUCCGGCUAACUACGUGCCAGCAGCCGCGGUAAUACGUAGGGAGCAAGCGUUGUCCGGAAUUACUGGGAGUAAAGGGCGCGUAGGUGGGUGCUUAAGUCAGGUGGUAAAACUCUGGGCUCAACCUGGAGACUGCACUUGAAACUGGGUAUCUUGAGGGAAGGAGAGGAAAGUGGAAUUCCUAGGGUAGCGGUGAAAUGCGUAGAUAUUAGGAGGAACACCAGUGGCGAAGGCGACUUUCUGGACUGUACCUGACGCUGAGGCGCGAAAGCGUGGGUAGCGAACGGGAUUAGAUACCCGAGUAGUC